GCAGUGGUGGUUCAGUGGCUGAAUUCUAACCUUCCAUGCUGGAGAUCUGGGUUCGAUUCCUGGCCAAUGCC
rnacentral:tRNA from 1 species